AUUUUCUCACUGCUUCCUACUAAAGGACGGACAGAGCAUUUGUUCUUCAGCCACAUACUUUCCUUCCACUGGCCAGCAUUCUCCUCUAUUAGACUAGAACUGUGGAUAAACCUCAGAUGUGAAUUUCUUCGGAGUAAGAAAUCCUCAGAGGAAAUUACCCAGUAUAUUCAAAGCUACAAGGGAUUUGUUGACAUAACGGGAGAACAUUUUGUGAAUUCCUGGGUCCAGAGAGAAUUACCUAUGGCAUCAGCUUAUUGCAAUGACAGCAUCUUUGCUUACGAAGAACUACGGCUGGACUCUUUUAAGGACUGGCCCCGGGAAUCAGCUGUGGGAGUUGCAGCACUGGCCAAAGCAGGUCUUUUCUACACAGGUAUAAAGGACAUCGUCCAGUGCUUUUCCUGUGGAGGGUGUUUAGAGAAAUGGCAGGAAGGUGAUGACCCAUUAGACGAUCACACCAGAUGUUUUCCCAAGUUCUCUCUCUUGCCCAGGUUGGAGUGCAGUGGUGCAAUCAUGGCUCACUGCAGCCUUGACCUCUCUGGCUCAAGCAAUCUUCCUCGCUCAGCCUCCCAAGUAGCUGGGACUACAGGCACAUGUCUUCACACCCAGCUAAUUUUUUUUUUUUUUUUUUUAAGAGACAGGGUCUCUCUAUGUUGCCCAG
rnacentral:lncRNA from 1 species